GCCAAUGUAGCUCAGUUGGCAGAGCAGCUCACUCGUAAUGAGCAGGCCCGCAGUUCGAAUCUGCGCAUUGGCU
rnacentral:tRNA from 1 species